UAUGCAGAUACAGACAUAAUAUUUUUAUUUUUUAUCAAGCACAGUACUAAUUCUGGUUCUGUAUGUUUCAGAAAGUGCUAGGCCAGUGUGUACUCACGAUGGCUACUAUGCUGCAGUUCAGUACAAAGAUGGUUAUGCAUAUUGUUCAGAUUUUCUUGGAAGGCAAAUCGAAGAUUUUAAACAAGAAAUUUACCUGUCAGAUGGCCUCAGUUGCAACUGUGCAAGACGUCGUUACAUAAUGGAAGAAAACGGCUUGGGGUCAAACAAGCCUAAGUGCUGUCCUAAUGGUGAAUACAAACCCCUACAAACUAGAGGUCUACUAGCAUACUGUGUUGAUACUAAUGGAAACCAGUGUGGCCCUGCAGUUGCGACGACAGACAUCACAUCGUUACCCUGCUAUUCAGAAGAUCCAUGUACAGUAGUUGUGGAAUGUUAGCACCAUCUUAUUGGAAGUGACUACAUGCUUUGUGAUUCUGCUGUUUGUGUUGUAAAAUGUUCAGGCUUAAUAGAAGUACUUAACAGUUUGACAGGAGAAACACUUCUAACUGGGAAAGACUUUUGCUAUUUUAGAUCUUAUUUCCAAGAUACUGUAUAUAUCAGGCCUUUUUUAUGAAUGUACAAAAUCACUUGAGGGAUAGAAGAGCUUAGAAAAUAAAUCUUUUAAGCAAAAUAAUUUUACAUGCUUUACAGAUGCCAUUGUCUCAUCAGCAUCUAAUUUUCCUUUCCUUUCCUAUCCAAAAUUAGAUGCUCUAGAUGCACUAUCAAAGUGCUCUUGAACAAACUAUGAGACAUUUCUUUUAUUUAUGCCUGAAUUACAGUUUAUCAUCUACCUUUGCUAUUUGACAUGUACUACAAUUAACAAAGUAUGAUAUAAUUGAUUUACUAUCUAUUAUCUAGUUAUAAGGCAGAAACUCUUCCUUGUUUAUUAAUUUCGAGCUGUGAAUACUAAAAAAAAGUACACCAUGAAAGCUAAUGGUAUUCAAGUUGGACCUGUAACUACUAUACUGAUUUUUAAUUCAUCCUUUAAUACCACAUGCAUAUAUCAAAUAAUUAAAAACUACUCCUGAACAUCACUGAGACAACCAUCAUGCUUUGUUGCUGAGACCAUUCCAUGAUAUCAAUGUAAUACUGUUAAUCAUUCUAUAGAACAUGGUCAGCAGUUACCUUCCUUUUUAAUUCAUAGAUAAUUAGUUGAGGUAUAUGAUUGUAUUACAGAGUUUAAUAGCCAUUUAUGUAAUUCUUUAGUAUAUGUAAAUUUAUAUUUCUAAGACACUGUUAUGUGACUCUGAUUUCUAUAUCCUUAUGAUCUAAGUUGUUCCUUUUACUGCCAACUGACUCUUCAUUAUCUAUCAGUAUUUCUUUUAUCCUUUAUUUUCUUGGUUCAGACAAAUACAAAGCAAGAAGACUGUGCUAAGUAAUUAAAGAAUUGAUGAAGAAUGUUGAAAGCCAGCUGUAAAAUCACAUACUAUGUUCAUUGUAUUACAAAUGUUUAUCAGUUGCACAAUAUAAUCUACACAUAAUAAAUGUUACAUGACUAAUGUAAAAAAAGAAAAAAGAAAAAAAAAAGAAGGUAUACUUAAACUAAAGUUCAACAAAGAAUAUAUUUCUAAAUAUUAUGCAAAACAAUCAUACCAUUAAUAUCAAUAUUUUUCAUGAAUGUAAUCUACAGUGUCAUCAACAUCUAAGAAUGUCUUAGUUCGUCUUAAAUCAAACUUUAACAUGUUAGUCUCAUAUACAAUGUGUGAGAGUUGCUAGUUUCUAAAUAAGAAUGAGGUAUUUGCAUGGCUAAAGGAAAACAAAAGAAGUAAAGUGCAUUUACUAAAAUCUUUAUUCAAACACUGGUUGUGUAAACAUAGCAAAUAUGAUUAUCCUGUGAAUUUAUCAUCAUAUUCUAUCAUCACUUGUGUGCGAAAAUCCUCAAAAAUGCACCGUAAGACAUGCAAUCUUAAGGAUACCUUGAGCAGAUGGUUACAUUGAAAAUGAAAAUGACCAAUGGAGUACAUCUGUUAGCCUGGCUUCUAUAUGGAAACUGUAUGACCUGUCUACUUUGAUACCAUUAGUACAGCUGAUGGAACCAGGCCUGAAAAGAAAGUAAAGAGAAAGUCAGAACUGUAUAUUUUCAUUUUCAAGUGAUUCCUAAAAUAAGUGAAAAUUAUUAUCAAAUAAAACAAAGAUCUUAUUAAUGAAAAAUAAAAGGUCAUGUGGUUUUAAUUCUCUAAAAAGAGAAAUAUUUCAGCUCCCAAGGCCAAUCUUAUUGGAUGUAAGACACUGCAGAAACCAAAAACUCUCUAAACUAUUUCCAUCAUUUCAUACAAAUUAUUACUGACUGACAUGAAGCGUGAGAUAAACAACAACUGAGAAUAAUUUCAAAGCUGGAAGGGUCAUGAACAGUGACUAACAAAUUAUUUACCUUUUUUUCCUAUCUUAUACACUUCUUUGUCUUGUGAAGGUUUGUAAUGUUAAAAUCAUGAGUGUGUGGAAGGUGAGAUUAAUAUGUAUGGCUAAACAUGCAUUUGUGAUAAUUUAUACAAUCUUUAAAUUUGGAUAUUUACAGAAUAUUUUAUUGUUACUAAUACCUAUGGAUACUGAACUAUGUAUUAUGCAAUCAUAUCCAAUUCAUAUAUUCACCACUGUGAUUAACAAUGUACUCUGUGUGGGAUGUAAUAUGUAAUUAGAUUUUUUAUGAUUUUAUUCACCAAUUUAGUAGAAGGUUACUACCACUGAAAUGCAUUUGCUAUUCCCACUGAAGACAUUGGAACUAAGCUAAUUCGAAAAAAAUUAUGUGUCAAAAGGAGUUGUCAAAAAUAUUUACUAUUCCAAUGAAGUUGGAUAACUGAAUAAAAAUAUAGCUUUAAAA